rnacentral:rRNA from 1 species
UACGUAGGGUGCGAGCGUUGUCCGGAAUUAUUGGGCGUAAAGAGCUUGUAGGCGGUUUGUCGCGUCUGCUGUGAAAAUCCGGGGCUCAACCCCGGACUUGCAGUGGGUACGGGCAGACUGGAGUGUGGUAGGGGAGACUGGAAUUCCUGGUGUAGCGGUGAAAUGCGCAGAUAUCAGGAGGAACACCGGUGGCGAAGGCGGGUCUCUGGGCAGUAACUGACGCUGAGGAGCGAAAGCGUGGGGAGCGAACAGG